rnacentral:rRNA from 1 species
ACUGAACGCUGGCGGCAUGCCUUACACAUGCAAGUCGAACGGCAGCGGGGGAGAAGCUUGCUUUUCCUGCCGGCGAGUGGCGAACGGGUGAGUAAUACAUCGGAACGUGCCCUGUAGUGGGGGAUAACUAGUCGAAAGAUUAGCUAAUACCGCAUACGACCUGAGGGUGAAAGUGGGGGACCGCAAGGCCUCAUGCUAUAGGAGCGGCCGAUGUCUGAUUAGCGAGUUGGUGGGGUAAAGGCCUACCAAGGCGACGAUCAGUAGCUGGUCUGAGAGGACGAUCAGCCACACUGGGACUGAGACACGGCCCAGACUCCUACGGGAGGCAGCAGUGGGGAAUUUUGGACAAUGGGUGAAAGCCUGAUCCAGCAAUGCCGCGUGUGUGAAGAAGGCCUUCGGGUUGUAAAGCACUUUUGUCCGGAAAGAAAUGGCUCUGGUUAAUACCUGGGGUCGAUGACGGUACCGGAAGAAUAAGGACCGGCUAACUACGUGCCAGCAGCCGCGGUAAGAC